AGCUCCUCUUACCUCACGGGGACUCGCCCGGCUCGGCCCCGCCGCCGCCCGCGAGCAGAGGCAGCGGGCGCACGGCCGCCCCGGUCGGUGCAGCAGGCGGGGGACGCCCUGGCAUUCACCCUGCCUGCCGGAGCAGCAAAUCUUCGCAGCCUCCGCCGUGCGCUCCGAAGCGGCGGCGUCAGCCGGGGAGCCGCCUGCUGCUCACCCGAGGGAUCGCAGCCCCGGCCGCCCGGUGCCGCCCGCUGGGAAAUCCGGCCCUCGCGCUCCGGGAGAGGCUGUGCUGGGGCCCGCACCCGUGGGGACUGGAGCGGGGAGGGGGAAGGGAACAGCAGGGUAGCCUUGCUAGUAAGGAAGGAAGCCGCUGGGGGCAGAGAUUGGAGUGGAGGACAGCGCCGCUGACGAGGGAGAGGGAGAAACUAAGAGCUGGCAGCGUGGCGAGCUCAGCAACACUGGUGACCAUGCAGUCCUAGAAUUGCAAAUGAGCUCCAGCAUGGACCGAAAGGGAGACACUGGAUCUGAUCGCUGGAUGGGGAGAAGAAUCUGUGCAGGCAGAACUCCGAUCCAAAAGAAGAAAUGCAAAUAUGUUUACCAAAAUCUCACAGGGCAUGUUGGACAGAGGCUACACCAGGGACAUACAGCAGUGCCGCGUGGCGUGAAAGUUAAGGAGCUCAGGCAAGCCUAAAGGACAAUGGAGGCAAACGGUCGCUUCGGCUCAGAGCCCCAUGCAUGCAGCUGUUCAUAGAAGCAGCAUGCCAUUCUACGGGGGACCCUACCACUAUCCCACCCCUGUCUGUGGACACCUGCAAGGGGGGAGUCUCACGUCGCAUGGAGGAGGAUUUUGUGGAUGAGGAAGAGGAGGAGGAUGAAGAGGAGGAGAAUGCGUAGCAGGCACGCGGUGAAUCCAUUCUCCCCAGCAUCCAGGACCUUUUCAUCACCCUGGAGCCAAUACCCUCCGAAGGCAGGAUCCCUGACCCUGAAGCCGGAGAAGGCACCCCUGGUGCAAAUGUUUCUACGCUCCCCCUGUCAUCUCUGUCCCUGAAGUUAUCGCAGAUUAGAAAGUGAAAAUAGUGCACUCGCAAUGACAUGUUUUCCGAGCUUAUGCAGUCCUCCCUCACUGUUAGGGCACAGCUUAAUGCAUGGAGGCUUUCAGUGGCAGAGGCCGGGAAAGAAUAAAGUAAGUGAAAAGAGCAGAGGCAGGACGCGAUGCUGAAGCUAAGCGGGGAGCAAACGGACAUGAUGAAGCGUCUGUUGGGGGAGCAAACGGACAUGAUGAAGCGUCUGUUGGGGGAGCAAACGGACAUGAUGAAGCGUCUGUUGGAGCUGCAGAAAAGCCAACAAGAGCACAGACCCCCGCUGCAUCCUCUGUAUAACCACCUACCCUCCUCCCCAUGUUCCAUAGCCUCCUCACCCAGAUGCCCAAGAAUGCGGGUGGAGACGCUCCAGGCACCCAGCCACUCCAGAGGAUGGCCCAAGCAACAGAAGGCUGUCAUUCAGUUUGAUUUUUAGUGUGGCUACAAUAAAUAAUGUGGCCUUGUUCUUCCGUCCUCCCCCACCCACCCGGGCUACCUUGGUUGCUAUCUCUUUUAUUUUCUUCUUCUUCUUUUUUCUUUAAAUUAAUAAAGAAAGA